AGAAUCAACGCUGGCGGCGUGCCUAACACAUGCAAGUCGAACGCGAAAGUGGAGCAAUCCAUUAGUAGAGUGGCAAACGGGUGAGUAACACGUGGGCGACCUACCUCAGAGUGGGGGAUAACCUUCCGAAAGGAGGGCUAAUACCGCAUGACAUCCCGUGUUUGGAUACACGGAGAUCAAAGCCGGGGAUCGCAAGACCUGGCGCUUGGAGAGGGGCCCGCGUCCGAUUAGCUAGUUGGUGAGGUAACGGCUCACCAAGGCUCCGAUC
rnacentral:rRNA from 1 species